GACGAACGCUGGCGGCGUGCUUAACACAUGCAAGUCGAACGGUAAGGCCUUCGGGUACACGAGUGGCGAACGGGUGAGUAACACGUGGGUGAUCUGCCCUGCACUUUGGGAUAAGCCUGGGAAACUGGGCCUAAUACCGAAUACACCCUGCUGGCUGCAUGGCCUGGUGGGGGAAAGCUUUUGCGGUGUGGGAUGGGCCCGCGGCCUAUCAGCUUGUUGGUGGGGUGAUGGCCUACCAAGGCGACGACGGGUAGCCGGCCUGGGAGGGUGACCGGCCACACGGGGACUGGGAUACGGCCCAGAGUCCGACGGGAGGCAGCAGUGGGGAAUAGUGCACAAUGGGCGCAAGCCUGAUGCAGCGACGCCGCGUGGGGGAUGACGGCCUUCGGGUUGUAAACCUCUUUCAGUGCCGACGAAGCGCAAGUGACGGUAGGCACAGAAGAAGGACCGGCCAACUACGUGCCAGCCGCCGCAGUAA
rnacentral:rRNA from 1 species